AGAGCCCAGCACCGAAUCCUUNCACCAUCUCGGUGACAGGAAAUGUGGUGUUUAGGCCGUACCUUGUCCCGACACGUCUCUCCUCAAGUCCACUUGAUUGUGGCCCCAGGCCCAGAGAGGGUGUAAGGCCCGUGGAGGCGAGACGUUCGGUACCUGGUGCGUCCUUAGAGUCGGGUUGUUUGGGAAUGCAGCCCUAAGCGGGUGGUAAACUCCAUCCAAGGCUAAAUACCAGCACGAGUCCGAUAGCGAAGAAGUACCGCGAGGGAAGGUUGAAAAGAACUUUGAAGAGAGAGUUCAAGAGUACGUGAAACCGCUGAGAGGCAAACUGGUGGAACUGAAAUGGUCCCGAGGAAUUCAGCCGUUGGUCGUUGCACAGUCUUUGGUGAUUGAUCUAACGACGGCGCCAUUGAAUGACGUUUCGAUCAUCGGUGCACUUUCCUCGCCUGGGCCCGACCACGACCGGUGAGCUGAUCUGUCUGUCGUGCUUGGAAGAUAGCGCCGUCUUCGGAAGGCGUGUUAUAGACAGGCAUACGGAGCAGUCGGCGCACUGGAUGAUAGUGCCUGCCCAUCUGGGCUCAUAUGGUGGUUGUUUUGUUGGCGAGUUCUGAUGUCACUACUUCGGUAGAGUCGUUAGACUCUGUUGGCAUUAUGGCUGUCCUCUAUGAUUGGCACUGUUAAGUCUGUGGUUGUGAAGUAGGUAGUCCACCUGACCCGUCUUGAAACACGGACCAAGGAGUCUAACAUGUGCGCGAGUCAUUGGGUUCACGAAACCUAAAGGCGCAGUGAAGGUAAAGAUCUGUUUUGGCAGAUUGAGGUGGGAUGCCGGGUUACGCGCCCGGCCGCACUACCGGCCCGUUCUAUAUGUCUUUCAUAGGAGCGGAGCAAGAGCGUACACGUUGGGACCCGAAAGAUGGUGAACUAUGCUUGCGCAGGUCGAAGCCAGA
rnacentral:rRNA from 1 species